AGUGAAUAGAACCCGGGUAGUCCACGCCCUAAACGAUGGAUACUAGGCGUAAGAGGUAUCGACCCCUCUUGUGCCGCAGCUAAACGCACUAAGUAUCCCGCCUGGGGAGUACGGCCGCAAGGUUGAAACUCAAAUGAAUUGACGGGGACCCGCACAAGCGGUGGAGCAUGUGGAUUAAUUCGAUACUAACCGAAGAACCUUACCCAGACUUGACAUCGAUCGCAAGCUCUAGAAAUAGGGCCCUCCCCCACAAGGGGACGUGAAGACACUUGUUGCAUGGCUGUCGUCAGCUCGUGCCGUGAGGUGUACGGUUAAGUCCGCCAACGAGCGCAACCCUCGUCCUGUGUUACCAGCAUGAAAGAUGGGAACUCACAGGAGACCGCCGGUGUAAGCCGGAGGAAGGUGGGGAUGACGUCAAGUCAGCAUGGCAGUUACGUCUGGGGCUUCACACAUGCUACAAUGGGCGAAACAAAGGGCCGCGAUACCGUGAGGUGGAGCCAAUCCCAAAAAUACGCCCCAGUUCAGAUUGCAGUCUGCAAC
rnacentral:rRNA from 1 species